GGGGAAGGGUAGCUUGCUACCUAACCUAGCGGCGGACGGGUGAGUAAUGCUUAGGAAUCUGCCUAUUAGUGGGGGACAACAUUCCGAAAGGAAUGCUAAUACCGCAUACGCCCUACGGGGGAAAGCAGGGGAUCUUCGGACCUUGCGCUAAUAGAUGAGCCUAAGUCAGAUUAGCUAGUUGGUGGGGUAAAGGCCUACCAAGGCGACGAUCUGUAGCGGGUCUGAGAGGAUGAUCCGCCACACUGGGACUGAGACACGGCCCAGACUCCUACGGGAGGCAGCAGUGGGGAAUAUUGGACAAUGGGCGCAAGCCUGAUCCUGCCAUGCCGCGUGUGUGAAGAAGGCCUUUUGGUUGUAAAGCACUUUAAGCGAGGAGGAGGCUACCGAGAUUAAUACUCUAGGAUAGUGGACGUUACUCGCAGAAUAAGCACCGGCUAACUCUGUGCCAGCAGCCGCGGUAAUACAGUGGGUGCGAGCGUUAAUCGGAUUUACUGGGCGUAAAGCGUACGUAGGCGGCUUUUUAAGUCGGAUGUGAAAUCCCUGAGCUUAACUUAGGAAUUGCAUUCGAUACUGGGAAGCUAGAGUAUGGGAGAGGAUGGUAGAAUUCCAGGUGUAGCGGUGAAAUGCGUAGAGAUCUGGAGGAAUACCGAUGGCGAAGGCAGCCAUCUGGCCUAAUACUGACGCUGAGGUACGAAAGCAUGGGGAGCAAACAGGAUUAGAUACCCUGGUAGUCCAUGCCGUAAACGAUGUCUACU
rnacentral:rRNA from 1 species